CACGUGGGGGGCAAGCGUUGUCCGGAUUUAUUGGGCGUAAAGAGCUCGUAGGUGGUUCGGUAAGUCGGGUGUUAAACCCCCAGGCUCAACCUGGGGACGCCACUCGAUACUGCUGUGACUAGAGUCCGGUAGGGGAGCGUGGAAUUCCUGGUGUAGCGGUGAAAUGCGCAGAUAUCAGGAGGAACACCAGCGGCGAAGGCGGCGCUCUGGGCCGGUACUGACACUGAGGAGCGAAAGCGUGGGGAGCGAACAGG
rnacentral:rRNA from 1 species